rnacentral:lncRNA from 1 species
UUGGGUUUGAGGUGCCUAAUUUACUGGUUGUUAUGCUUGAAAGGGUCCUAAUUUUCGGUAUCCUUGGGUUUCCUCGAGCUCGAUCUCUGUUCCCGCUGAUCUCAUUCAUGCCUUUCGUAUAAGAUUUGUGCUUUAGGUGUCUUAUUUACUGAUUGAUACACUUGAAACGAUCUGAUUCGUGAUUGUACCUAAAUCGAGGGGUUUUUGGUGGUUGAUAGUGAUGCUAGAAAUACGGAUCUUUUGUGGUUUAUUGUUUAUAAGGAAAUGUUGCUUUGAAUUGAUAUGUUCAGCUUCUGUGUGUUUCUAUUCCAUUGAUACCCUCCCUUUAAAAGGGAUAUUUUGCAGACAAAAGAAAAAAAAAAAAAAAAGAUCUUCAGGAAUGGAUUAAUUGCGUGAUGAUUAUUCUUUUUGUGCUUCAUAGUUAGAGUUGAACACUAUGUACAUUUACGGUGUUAUAUAAUGAUGGUAGGAGAGCUGUGAGGUUGCUGUUCACUGUGAAUUCAAACAUUCAUGAGGCUCUUAGAGAUGUUUACAGCCAUUUAAUUUCAAAACAUCAUGUGGCUCUUACAGAUGCUUUUUGCCAUUUAGCGAGUAGAUGAAAUAACUUGGAUUCUUGUUAGCUUUUAUAAUGGUUAUUCAGCUGUUUGGAAAGUUCAAAAUCUUUUCCUUUUUAAAGUGGUAUAGUCCAAGCGGACCAAGAUCAUACAGAUGUAUUUCUGUAACUCAAUAUAUUCAGGGCCUCUGUUCCUUCUUUUCAUUUUCCUAGGUUACUAGAGACAACAUCCUUUUAAUACGAUUAUAUGACCAUUGCUAUCUUCUUUCCUCCUAGAAAACUUAUGAUCGUGCGUCAAUAGCUGUCAGAAAGCUUCCCAUUUGAUCCUACUGUGAAUUGUUUAUCAUUGAUCAUCACCCAAAGUUGCAGUUUGAACUAAACUCGAGGCAAAUUGAUGAUCUCAGAAUGGAGACUCUUCUUCUUUAUAUGGUAACUUCUGCUCAAUUAAAGAGUCAUGUGUAACUCGAGCUUACACUUCAUAUAUAAUCUCUUAUCAAACAAGAAAAAGUUAUUAAAGUUUACAGAUUUUCAAGUACUAUUCUGUUUUCAGAAAGCAGUAAGGAACAUCGUAUAUUACCUGUGACAUCAAGCAGUAAACAAUGCCCAACAUUACAUACGUAUUAUGUACUACAUAACUCAUUAUGACCUAGUGAAUCUUCAGUUCUCCACUUUUGUAUGCUUUUAAGCACUCGACACUAAUAGAUUUGUUCGUUACUGCAACCGUAAUGCAGUUACACUAUUUAAAUCUUUAUUUGGUUCCGUUACUACUAAUUCCAUUUUCGUGCUAUCUCAUUGUUCUUCUUUCCUCAUCGUGUGAAACUACCCGAUACUAACUUAUCUAUGUGCUUAUUGUAGCCAUCCGCUCUGAUUCACCUGAAGAAUGAGAACCGGUGCACAAGUUGGAUGAAGAUGGGCUUCAUCGCAAGCUUUUGUUUGUUUUCAAGUGCUAAUGCAUAUUUGCUGUAAAAUCAGUGCGUGUACUCUUGAUUGGCGAGUACUAUCUAUCGAAACAGCUCAGAGAUAAAGCAUCCUUGAAUAAAAAUUAUUAUCAUGUUGGUACAGUUAAGCAACUGCUCGUUUGACUAUUGGAAUUUGGUUUAUUGAACCAUGUAUUAUGGAUUUAUUCUACACGGUUACCGUGUUUUAUCCUAUUUCAUUUCAUAUUGUUUUCUUGGUGCUGCAGUUUUUGUGAAAGGAUGUGGUUCUAACUGAGCCGAUUCUGUGCGAAAAAGAUUUGCCUGGAAUGGUUAAUUUGGUUUGUAUGCUUCUGAAAGACGACUCCACAAUUCUUGGGUUAUGAAAUGUUGAUAGAAGAAGAUAAUUCUGAUGGUGUUUAUGCAUGUCUUUUGAUUUAACAAAUAACAUCUACAAUGGUAUAUUAUGGUUGUAUGCAUAGAAGAAACAACGUGAUGCGGAAGAAGUACAUGGUCUUUUAUUUUUGUAAACUUGAAGUGAUGAUUUGUAUAGAAUAACACUGUCACGCAAUUAUUGAUUGUUUCUAGCAUAAGCGGUAAAAAAAAUUUGAUGAUUGAUAUUUUGAUGUUUCAAGUUUCAGUUCUAAUUGCUUAAUCAUUAUAAUAAUAACAAUAUUUGCAAGAGAUGCUCACUUUUGAAAUGGCUUAAUUACACUUGAGGAGCGUGAUAUGAGGAUAUUUGAUUUUUAAUUUAUUAUAAUUUUAUAAUUAAAUUAAGUUUUAUUAAUUUAAUCUAAUCAACUAAAUAGUAAUAUAUUUAUUAAUAUAAAAAUAAUAUAGUAAUAAUACUACUAAAAUUAAUUAAGAAGCGAGUGUAACGAGUCGAUCGUAACGAACUCCGUGGCAGUCGUCGUAAUUUCCACACAAGUGUCGGGGGCAAAGCGAACCAACCGUGCCAACGUGUUCUCUCCGCGGGAAAAUGCUCUCCCACCAUCUCCGCCUCUUCUCCCCUUCCCCUCCAAACCUUCCAUUUUUUUUAUUCCUAUUAAAAUAAAAAUAAUUACUAGAAAAAAAAUAUUGUCAUGGGAGAAACAGAUUAGAAGAAAAAAUAAUAAUAAUGUCGCAUUCUCAUCGCAAUAUGCUAUGCAAUUGCUCAGAUGAUUGAGAGAGAAAGAGAGAGAGAGAGAGAGAAUCAGAGAAGAGGAGUAAUUCAAAUUUUGCUGGAUUCAAAUCUCUUCCCUAUAUGAUUUGUGGAUGUUGAUAUAGAUAUCAUAAGGAGAGAGGGAAACUAGGAGGAUAAUGUCGGGGCUGAGCGACGGCGGGGCCGGGGAGAGGGAGGCGCUGGCGCCGAGCGCGCCGGCAGCGGCGCCGCGGGGGUCGAUCGUGGAGUCGUUCCGGGGCUGCGGGAUCGGCGGCGGCGGGGGGAGGGCGGAGAGGGAGGAGCUGCGGCAGAGGGUGGCCAUCCCCGGCCGCAUCCUGGCGGCGAUGGCGGCCGCAAUGCGGUCCAAGGACCCGAACUCCGCCGCCAAAAGCGCCGCCACCGCAGCCACCGAGGAGGAGGAGGAGGAGGAUGAGGAGGAUGCCGCCGCCGCCGCUGCUGCCGCUGCCGAGGUGGAGGGGAGGGUGGUCGAGGAGGAUCUCCCGGAGGCGCCCAUGGUGGCCUUCGUGAACUCCCGCAGCGGCGGCCGCCACGGCCCCAUCCUCAAGGGCCGCCUCCAGGAGCUGAUCGGCGAGGAACAGGUUCAAAACCAAACAAUCCUUUCUUCUUUUUCUUUUUCUUUUUCUUUUCAAUAUAUCCUUUAUAAUAAAUUAUAUGUAUAUAUAUACAUACAUGCAAUUAACUCCCUUCGAUAGAUUAAAAAUAUGCAAAGGGUUAUGGCAUCAAAAUUAACAUCAUUAAAAAUGAAUAUUUGAUAGAGUUAUAAUGAACUGAAAAUGUGAUAUAUAUAUAUAUAUAUAUAUAUAUAUAUAUAUAUAUAUAUUAAAAAAGAUAUAUAUGUACCAAUUUAUAGGUACGAUUUUAACUAAUUAUUUAGUUUUCUAUAUAUAAAAAAGUAUGCUAAAAUAUGUGAUGUGAUGAAUGAUCGAUGAAUAGGCUGUGUCUCGAUGUAGGAAUACACACAGCCUACGCAAUAAAUUUUUCCUUUUUUUAAACACUGUUGAGUUUUAUUGUGAGAAAAUACUUAGUUUGUAUUGAGGGAAUGCAGGGAAUGGAGGUUAUCAAGAAGCAGCAGUUGAUCAGAAACGCCACUCAGUUACUUCUUUAAAUUUUUUUUUGUUGCUUCAUUAUAUAAGAAUAACUCAAAAGUUAAUAUUGUAAAAGCUAAGAUAUGUGGAAAAAAUGUCGUAUUAGCGAGUAUUCAUGAUCGAAUAUCUGUUUCACGCGAUACAAAUCUGCUUCUGAAACUCUGCAUCUCUUGAAAAUCGAUUACCUCGUACAAUUUUAUAUAGCUAAUUUGCUUUCUACUUACAUAAAUCUUGCUGAAAAGUUCUUCUGAAUGAUGCAAUGCAGGUCUAUGAUCUUUUAGCUGUCGAGCCUUCGGAGUUUGUCUGGUACGGUUUGGGCUGCUUGGAGAAUCUGGCAGAUCUCGGUGAUUGCUCUGCAAGGGUCGUGCGCGAGAAGCUGAGAAUCAUGGUAAUUUUCUGAUCGAGUUCUGAAGGGUUAGAUAUCAUAUCAUAUUCUGAUGCAUUUCGAUUAGAAUACAUGCUGCUGCUUAGUCCUUUAUAUGUGACCUUCUUAUUCUAGAUGUGAAUAGUAUUUACCAUAUUAGACGGUGACAUUGCGAUUUCCUUGACAAACUUUUUGUUCAUCUUUGCGGCCUAUGGCCAAAUUUUAAUGAACUUCUAUUUUAUAUAUGUAUAAAUAAUGUGGCAGGUUGCAGGAGGUGAUGGUACAGUUGGUUGGGUGUUAGGAUGCCUGGCAGAGCUAUAUGUGCAAAAAAGAGAGCCAGUUCCACCGAUCGCCAUUAUCCCACUCGGAACAGGAAAUGAUCUUUCUAGGAGCUUCAGUUGGGUCAGUAUCUGCUUUCCGCUCUUAUUUUUGUCCCAUUUGGCCUACCUGUAGCUCCGUUAUAUAAAAGUAUCGGAAGAAGCACUUAGAGCUUGUCAUUAAAAUCUCUUUAAGCGCUUUGGUUGGGGCUCAUAACUCCUUUCGCACGAAAGCCUGGGUAUUUUAUUUGUCAAAUGGCUAAACUGGCUGCCUCUCUGAGAGGAAAAACUGUUCCGGAUAACACUCAUGCUUAAGUAUCUUUUUAGGGGCCUUCGUUUCCAUUUGCAUGGAGAUCAGCAGUCAAACGUUCUCUCUACAAGGCAAUGACGGGUCCAAUUUGCCGCCUAGACAGGUACGAAUUAUCUUCAGAUUGAAAUUAGAUCACAUUUCUUAUUCCUAUCAUUCUUUCACCUUGUAUGAUUUCAUUUAAAUAAAAAGAAACUAAUUUCAAUAUUUUCAAAACUCGUUCCUAAUUUCUAUCGCCAAGUUUGUUUUCCUCUUUAAUAUAAAAUUUUGAAAUAUUUUAAUGCAGUUGGGAUGUGACCGUCUCUAUGCCGGCAGGAGAAGAAGCGGAUGUAGAACUGCCACACUCUCUUAAGCCUCUGGGAAUGUGCGCUUUUGAUAAGGUUAUAUAUGUUUCUCCUUAAAUUAUGCUUCACACUUUUCUUAUAUUCUCUUUCUGAUUUUUUUUUUCUUUCUAAAUUAUACUUAUUUGCUCAUGAAUUUAAGAAGCGUUUGUACGGUAGCAUCUGGCGCAUUGUAUUCUUUCUUUUUGCAGCUGACCCUCCAAAUCGUACUCUUCCUCCUUUCAGUUCAUUUAAUUGCCAUACUGUGUUUCUUUUCUCACAUUCAGCUUCUAUGUGCAGCUCAGUAACUUGAGUUCUACGUUGACGGUACUAUCUCUUAAUAAUGCUUUUAUUUCUGCAGGAUGGAUACAUUGAGGGUGAUUUGCCAGAAAAGGUUUCUUGCUUUAAUGGAGUCUUCUAUAAUUAUUUUAGUAUAGGUAUGGUAUCUUUCCACUACUUUCAUGUUUCAGGUGGAAAGCAAACUCUGUUCAAUCAUUUGGACCACGUAGUGCUGUUCAUUGUCAAAGAUUUGUUAAUUUAACUUUUUAUCUGAUUUAACUACUUGUUUUGUUAUUUCUUCUUAUAGAUCAUUUCUCAUAUUAUGGUCACAUUAUUGUAAGGUCGACCAAUAUGGUGCUUUGGCUCUUUGUUUACGUAUUCUUACCUCCUUGUCCUGAUGUUUUCUAUAAUGAGAUUAUGAUCCGCUCUUUACGAGAGUUUAUGGGUUCAGUUCAGUCCCCGAAAAACUGUAUCGUAAGCUUUUUUCUGGAAAAAAAAAAGAAAGAGAAAAAAGAAGAGAUUGGUUUUUAAUUCUCUUAUAUUUUGCUGUGAGACCUAGGGCUUUUAAUGUCGUUCCCCUUCCGGAUGUUAAAUUUAUCUAUUUUUCUUCUAUAUAACGUAUGACUGGACUCUUCUUCAUGUAGGAAUGGAUGCUCAGGUUGCGUAUGGAUUUCAUCAGUUGCGUGAUGAGAAACCGUUCCUUGCCCCCAGUCCAUUAGCUAAUAAGGUAUGUCUCUGUUUACAGUCCAUUUUCCAUAUCAAUUGCUACUAUGAACAAUUCCAUUUUGUUUUUGUCGCUUAUCCUUUUAUUAUUUUAUCGAAGUUUAGUUAAAAUUAUGAUCAUGAUAUUGUGAGGACUAUCUUGCUUUUCCUUGGGCAAAAUAAAACUAAAAAAAAAAUCCAUCAGUUCCCUUAAUCACCAUAUUUCCUAUUUACGGCUCCUUAGUUUUACAAUUUUGAGCACUACAUCUUGGGAGAAGUUGUACUUUCCGAAAUUGUUACAAGUGUAAUAUUUCAUCGAUAAUUACAAAAUUUAACAUUCCCUAGCAUGCAACGGCACUGAUAUUAUUCUAAUUAUUUCUUGGUUUUUCAUGAUUAAAUAUUGAAAAACUUGUUUCACGCUUAACACAUUUGAUGAAUACUGAUGGACUGAUUUUAUGGCAGUUGAUUUAUGCAGGAUAUACCUGUAAGCAAGGAUGGUUCUUUACACCAUGCAUCAGUGAUCCAAGUUUAAGGUGUAGUAUUUGUCCUCUCACAAGCAUACAAUAGUUCACCUCUUGAUCCAUUUCCUUUGGUAAUACAACUGCGAAUUUUUCACAGUCAAAACUAUUUUUAUCACCUACAAAAAGGAGAAUUAACACACCCAUUAAUAUUAGGGAUCAAAAGGAUUUUCCCGAAUCGAAGGAUUUUUCAGUUGGGUAGGUUUGACGAAGGAAUUUUGAUUGGAUAAAUUCGGUUUUCCCGCAACUUCAAGUCUUAACACAAUUAAAUUUUGCAUCAUUUUCAAGCAAUUUUGUCAAAUUUAUUUAGCAACUUCUUUAAAGCUCAUGAUAUAAUGGCUAUCGUGAUCUUUGUAGAUGCAGUUCUUUUAAUACUUUCUUCGUCUUGUAAUGAAACUCUGUGCGAUCUUUUACACAUGUUAGAAUGUUCAUUUAUUAAUAUCUCUUAUUUCUUCAGCAAAAAUGAUCUUGUGAUCAUGUGAGAAUACAAAGGCAGCUAACCAACCAUUGCAACCAAAUAUUUAGUUUCCGAGUAUUAUUUCUAAUUUUCUACAACUCCUUGAAGAGUACUUUGAUAAAACUUAAAAGCAAAGAGGAAUAUUGCUUUUCAGCGCGAGAUCGCCUUUCUAUUUUUCAGUCACUAUUCUCUUUUUCCAGUUUACCUUUGUAUGCUAGUUUUAUGAAGUUGAAACAUAAACUUGAGGCUAGUGCUCCAUGAAAUAGUAUGUGAUUUGCUUCAAAAAUGCGUUAUGCAGAGGACUGAAGAACAUUCUUCAGCUAUCGAUUAAGAAGAUUGAUAGCUCAGAUUGGGAGCAGAUUCCCGUACCUUCAAGGCAAGUUUGUCAUCCUUGACCUGAAUUUCUUUUUUUUUUUUAUACGAUUUUCUCUACUUUAGAUCCCAGUUUUGAGUUCAAUUCGAUUUACCAACGUAUUUGUAUUUUCCAACUCAUGUGAAUAACUUUUUCUCGUGCAGUGUUAGGGCUAUAGUUGCUUUGAAUCUUCACAACUAUGGGAGUGGAAGGAAUCCAUGGGGCAAUUUGAAACCUGAUUAUUUAGAAAAGGUUUGUAGAACUAAUUUGUGCAAAACCCUUUGGUUCAGACGAUUAUACUUUAGCUAUUUUGUUACUUUAUCAAAGUGCUUCACGAGAAAUUUCAUCCACACAGCUCAUUAAAAGAUUAAACUGCGUUGCUUGUAAUUCUCUUUUGCUCAUUUUUCAUAUGUUUGUGACCGUGUGUGUGGCUGCGUCCAUGGGAACAUUUUGGGCACAAAGCUUUCGCUAUCCUAAGCCUAAACUGUUGACUGAAGCUUAUUUCAGCAUGCUUUUCUCACUUCUUUCUUGUUCUGCAAAUUCACUUGCUGAAUUUCAUCGACUGUAAAUUCAUGCCUGUAAGAUUUCAUUUUGGGAAAUUCAUAUCAAGUCAAUAAAGCCCCAUUGGAACAAUACUUGUAAUUGAUAAUGACGAUUAAAAUCCGAUUUUUAACUCGAAGUUUUGAUCCUCUUUUUUGGGGUUGAGUUUUGCUAGAGAGGAUUUGUCGAGGCCCAAGUUGAUGAUGGCCUGCUUGAAAUCUUCGGAUUAAAGCAAGGGUGGCAUGCUUCACUUGUGAUGGUAGAGCUCAUAUCGGCUAAACACAUUGCCCAGGUACCUAAACACAUCGCGGCAAACUAUUGUGUUGAUCUUCUUUUUUGUGCACCAUUUAUUUGUACCUUUUGUCCCAUGGAUACUGAUACAGGUUUCGCCAAAUACAUAAAUUGAUCUGUGGUACAUUUUCAGGCUGCAGCAAUUAGAUUGGAAAUCAGAGGGGGCCAAUGGAGAGAUGCGUACAUGCAAAUGGAUGGCGAGCCAUGGAAACAGACGAUGAGCAGGGACUAUUCUAUCUUCGUCGAUAUAAAGAGGGCGCCGUUUCAGUCGCUAAUCAUUAGUGGAGAGUGAACAUGUGCACGGUUCACUCAAAUUGGAUAAGGUACACAUGUGAGAACUACAUUUAAAACAAAUUCUUUAGCUCCAUUCUUGAUCCACAAAUAAUCUUUUACAGUAAAGUCUGAGUUUGUCAUACGAAGCUCUCUUUGUACUUUCCAGGGUAGUUCUUUUCACUCCGGAGAAAGCAGAAAUGAUCGCUUCGUAGUAAUUCCUGGUUAUUCUGAUUAUUUACGGAUAUCUAAUAACACAAUUCGUGUAGCCAAAGAGGAUUAAUUGUUCGUUUCACCGACCGAUUCCUACUCAUCAGCUGGUCUCAAUUGAAAUGCUGUAGCACACGGAUCGUAACAAGAUAACAUCGUCGAAUACUUCAUAUCUUAACUGCAUUUGGCUGUUGGGAUGACAGCGAAGAGUUUGGAGACUUUCGAAAGUCGGCGUCGUGAUGUAAUUGUAAAUUGGAAGUCGAAGAUUUGUUUACUAAUUCGUCUGUAAAAAUUUUUAUGUGUAAUCAUUUACCUUCUCUCAUGGUUGGAAAUUAUGAUUUGGUGUAUAUGAUUAUAUGAUUAUUUGUUGUAUAGAAGUGAGGUAUGACUCUUUAACUUUUGAAUGUAACUACAAGAAGAGGCAAACAAGGAGGAUAUUUAACAGGACAACCCAUUUGCCUUUGUAUGGAUUCUGAAAACAUGUCUCCGAAAAUUCGACCUUGGUGAAGAUAACAAGAUCAAUGUAUAUAAAUUUUUCUUGUGUUUUGGUGAUUGUUCUCUCUUUCUAGUGUAUUAUGUGAAAUUCUCAUCAUAGCGAUUAUAUAUGUAAUAGUGUUUUAGACUCUUACGUCUUUGCGCUAAGAAGAUUAGUAUCGAUGAAUAUGUCACGACUCUUGUGUUAUGGCACAAGCCGAAAAACCAAGGAAAAGUGAGAAAUAGGGAAGGAAAUAAAGCACGCAGAUAAUUUAUAUGAUUCAGCCACUAGUUUAUACCCUACAGACAGAAGACAAUGCGAGAUCUUUACUAUAACAAAAACAGGGUAUAAAAACAGCUCUUUUAGCCCUAGCCCUAAAUACGCUUAGGAACUUCAACAAUCUUAAGCAAUUUCUCCAGCAAAUGAUGCAUGAGAUGAUCACAGCAUCUCAAUUCACACUAAAUGAGACAACCCUUUUCUCUACACCAAGUAGAAGCAACAUGAUGUGGGAAGCUAAAGUUAUUCCCACAAACACUACAUACAAAUAGAAUCUAUAGUGGAAUUGCUACAUGAUAAAGUGCUUUUUUUUUUUGACCUGGAUAUGCAUCUGGAUAACAGAUUGCCUUGCCCAGGAUAUGCAUCUUAUACCAGAAUCUUAAUUUCUAUGCUUGCUCUUAUCCAGAAACUAGGGCAUAGCAGAAUAUAUGAAAUGAAUAGAGUGUAAACUUUAUAAAGGUUCCUUUUUUUUUGAAAAAAAAACAUUAAAAUAUGUGGAAUUUGUCAUGUCAUAUGAUUAAUGAUUACCAACCAAACCACCAAUUAGGAAAAGUAAAUCUUCUUUUUGAAAGAGACACCCACUCAGCCUAUUGUUUGUUGUUUUAACCCUCCCUGUUUGAAUAUGAUUGGAGAUUCCAACAAAAUCUCACUUCAAAGACUAAAAAAAAAAAAAAUCCAAAAAUGCAAAAUCUCUUUAUGCAAAUCUCCUCUCUUUAUGUACAGAAAUCAUAUGCAAUUAAAAGGGGGAAAAAAGUGAAAAUUAAAAUUCUUUAUCUUUUUUUAAGCUCAGACACUAAAUUUUUUUUUAAAAAAGAACAUUCAAGUUUGCCUUUAUUGGAGUUAUUUUUGUAACAUUUUAUAUGAAUUGAAUUCAAAGUUCAAAUUUAAAAAGAGGGGAAAAAAACAAAGAAAAUAAAAAAGUUGCUUUUCGCCGCAAUUACGGCUGAAGAGACAAUUUUUCUUUGUAUGAUUGUUGCUUUUUCCUUAAAGUUAGACCCCUAUAAAGCCCUAAAUUGACUCAUAAUUGAUCAAAACAAAACACCCAUCCAACCAAAACAAUCUCAUUCUAUGCAUGCCUACUUUGUGUAGAAAGCAAAACCCUAGCUAGAUGGCUAGGUCAAAUUGGUCCAACUUGUUGAAAAUGGCAUUUUUUCACAUAAAUCCCCACAAUCUAAAAACAAUCUAAAAAAUUGGCAUAUGACUGAAUCAUGCCGAAUACUUUCCUGCUUUGAUAUCAUACGGUACAACCAAUCACUCUAAAACCUCGGGCUCCAUUCGGGAGCGAGAUUUAAGAGUGUCGCUAUAUUUACCCCCUGCUUCAAAAACUAGUGUAAUCGUUUGGUAAUAUAAGCGUCUAGUGGUCUGCCAAAUAAAAAAUGACGCUUGUACAGAGUUUCUCACUUUCGCACUUCGCAGAUGAGUUUAUUAAGCUGCGCGUUCUAUGUCGCAACACCGUGAAGUUGCUACCAAACCAGACCUUAAGCUUAUGAGGAAAAAAGAUAGUAUGAUUUUAUAUUCGGCCAUUAAACUAACUAGCAUAAUAACCUGCGCGAUGCGAUAGAUAGAUAAUUAAAAAAAAAAAAAACGUCAACAAAAAAAAGAAAACGGCGAUGAAAAAAAAACGAUGAUAAGGAAUGAUAUUCAUUUUACUAAUGAAUGAAGAUAACAACUGAGGGAAGAAGAAAAAGAGGAGGGACUUGAGCUGCUUCAGGGUAGAGACCACACUUAACAAUAAAGAAAAAGUUGUCAUAUGACAAUUUUAGGAAAAACAAUGUACAGGUAUAGAUGUUUACCUAUCCGACCUUGCUAACUUGGUUUGUAGAAAUCAAAACCCUAGGUCAAAUUGGUCAAACUUUUUGAAAAUGACAUUUUUGCACAUAAAUCCUUAUAGGGGUUGAAAACUUGGUAUAUUAUUGAGAGCACCAAGCUUGGACCACAUAAUAAUGAGGACAUGCAUGCAGUGUGGGUAGUGAAAGUGAUUUUGCCUAACACUGUUGAAUCAUCAUACUUUUUAAUGGGGCCAGCAUAAUUAGGAAACAAACAAUCUCUAGGAAUGAAACUUACCUAUCCUUUCUUAAUUUUUAAAAUAAUAAUAAUAAAUUUUUAGUAAAGCGCUAGAUCUAGCAGUUUGAUGCUUUUACUGUCGUGAGAAAUCGGCAAUGAGAUUUCAAUAUUUUCAAAAAGAAUAUCUUUAUAUGGGUACUUUUACUUUUGCUGCCGAGAAAAUUAAAUCCAUUGAAAGAAUAUUUUAGCACAAUACUUUUUUUUUAAUAGCGCUACUCAAACAACACUCUAUUUGAUUAUAAAAUUCGCUUAAAUAAGCCAAGAAGAACAAGCCCUCAGCUUAAUUAUUGUAAAUCUCGAGCAUAAAUGUGUGAGAAAGUGUUAAGUAUGUUAUAUUAAAUCCAUUGAAAGAAUAUUUUAGCACAAUACUUUUUUUUUUUUAAUAGGGCUACUGAGACAACACUCCAUUUGAUUAUAAAAUUCGCUUAAAUAAACCAAGAUGAACAAGCACUCAGCAUAAUAGUAAAUCUCGAGUAUAAAUGUAUGAGAAAGUGUUAAGUAUGUUGUAUUAAUUGAAACACUAUUAUUUUAUGACUCCGAGUUUUUAAAAUAAUAGAUUGUUUUAUAGUUUAUAAAACUUAGUUCGAAUUUUAACAGGCUUAGUAACAAACUAUUAUAUUUACUUACAAAUAAACAGGAAUUAACAUAGUAAAAUAAAAUGAGCUUAAAUAAAAUAAUAUUAACACCACCUCCAAGGGAUUAUGUGUGAAUAUGAUUUUAUAAAUCUAAAACAACCUAUAAUUAACCAUCAUUAUUGCUCAUUAACCAAUCACACUUUUAAUCCAACUUAUAAUUUCUCUCUCUUAACUGUGGAUAAGUGUGGGAAAAAGUAAAAGUGCUUGGACAAAUAUUCAUUCCAGUGACGUGUUCCCCAUCCUAGUUAGAAAAAAGGCCAAAAAAAAAAAGAAAAAAAAAGUAGGCUUUAAAGAAGAGUACUAUACUUUAUGGAUAGUCCCCACACUAUCCAGAUAUUGCGAAUUGGGUCUUAUACUUUUUGGCUUAAAUAAUUCGGUUUUUGAAAUUUCACGCAACUAUAUCUUUUUAAAAUAUCAAUUUAUUACUUCUUUUAAAUAUUUAAUUUAGACUCUAUUUGGAAUUACGGGACAGUUCAUUAUAUACAAUCAUUUUUUCUCGUAAAAUAUAAGACAUCGUCCAAAUUAUAUUGAAAAGAUUAUUUUAUAACAAAAAAUUAAAGGAUAAAUUGGUUUAAUUGCAUACAGUUCUCUGUAAAUAUAUAUAAUAGUAAAUAUAUCUCUACAAAGUUUAACUUUUCAUAUUUAUCACUGUAAAAGUUUAAUGAUAUUCAUAUUUGUUUAUCUAGUUUAUUAUUGUUAAGGCACUUUUAUUUUUUAACAGAAAAUAAAUAAAAUGAUAUUUUUACCAUUAGAAAUAUGUCCCUCCAAUAGUCCCAAUUGUUAGAAUUAUUCAGAAAUAUCCUCUCAAAAAUCUCCAACGGUCAUCUUCUUCUAUUCUAUCAUCACAAAUAAUAUAAGAGAAGUAAAAAUGUCAAUUUACAUACCUCAUUCACUAAUCAGGAUAAAUAUUUUACCUACAUAUGAUUAGUUAUAUUUUUCUAACAAAUACUAACAACAUGGGUAUAUUUAAAAAUAUUAGAAUUUUUGCAAGAAUAUAUAUAUAUAUAUAUAUAUAUAUAUAUAUAUAUAUAUAUAAAGUUAAACUUUGUAAGAAAUAUUUACUAUUUGAUUUGUUUACAGAGAGUCGCAUGCAAUUAACCCAAAACUAAAAUUACUCCAAUAUAUAACAUACGUUAAAAAUUCAAAACUAUAUUUACGUAAAGAACAUAAGGGGCUAAAUUAUAAUAUCGAAGCAGUGUAGGGACUGAAUUGUUUAAGUGAAAAGCAAAAAAAAAAAAAAAAAAAAAAAAAAAAAAGAAAAAAGUAUGGUUGAAGUACCAUGCACCAUGCGCUGGUUCCGUUGCAAUGCCUUUGUACGUAAGCGAUUCCGAGUUGUCCUUAUCCUGUACGGUGGGCAUCUGACGUGGACGGGGCCCCACCAAAAAAAAAGGACAACACAUUCGCGGGGGCCCAUGCAUGGUCAGGUGGGAGACCCGGGUGCGGGCCCACACACCACAGAGCAAUGAUCAAAACCUUAUAUAUAUAUAUAUAUAGAACUAGGCUACUAUGCUAUUAAUAGCACCAAGUCACUGGUGCUACCAAGUUUUCGGCUAUUGGAUUAAGAGAUGUGCGGUUAGGAUGAUGUGGGCCCCCUAGGGUUGAGUGGGUGGUUGGUUGAAUAGUAUGAUCUAAUGGGUGAAAAUGAUCACAAGGGUAGAUCUAACGGCGGAAAACUUGGUAGCACCAAGUGCUUUGUGCUAUUAAUAGCACAGUAGCCGGACUCUAUAUAUAUAUAUAUAUAGGGGGCUCACUGUAAAUCAUUUUGAAUUUAACUAUUUAAAUUUUUAAAAAUUUAAAAUUUAUAUUUUAAUUUUUUAUUAAUUUGUUUGAUAUGGGCCUAGGUCAUCGUUACUUUAUCCGAAUUGUAACAAAUCUGAAUUGACUAUUUAAAAUUUUUAAAUUUUAGUUUACUAUUUAAUUUUUUUAAUUUGUUUGAUAUGCACCGGUUAAUGAUAUUUUAACUUUCAAAUUUAAUAUAUUUACUUAUUUAAAAAAUAAGUUUAUAGUUACGAGAAUUAUAUAAAAUGUAUUAACUAAAUAUGUAAAUGAUUUCUUUUUUUUGACUCAAAUCAAAUAAAUUAAAAGGUUGGAUACUAAAAUUAAAAUUCUGAUCAAAAUGAUCUAUAAUUUAAAUAAAUUUUGUAUGUUUUUACUUUAUUUUUAGUAUGAGAAUAACUAAAAUAUUUUUUAAAGUACAUGUAGAUACUUUUGCUUUUUUUUUUCUGAUGAAAAGAUAUUUAAUUUGACGAUCCGCAUCGUGAAACAUGACUUACACUAGUUGAACUUCGUAAAGCUGUCGAAUUUUGUAGAUUUUUUAAAUUAUUUGUUUAGUAGCCAUUAAAAAUAGUUAAUUUUAAGGCCAGUUAGAUAAUAGCCAAAUGAUGACAAAAGUUGUAGAAUUUAAUUCUGCUUAUCUUCACAUGUAAUACAGAGUUACGUAUAUCCAAUGAGUCGCUCAGAAAAAAACAUUCAUACAUUCUUUCGCUCUAACUUUAUUUUAUUUAUUAGUGUUUGAUGGAUUCCGAUACUAAAUAGACUCUGAAUCAAAUUUAACGGUGCCGACCGCCAAUUCGAUUUCAUAAAAAAUGGUGCAAAAAUAAAUGCCUCUGUUUAGAAGUAUCCUAACUUUGCUCAUUUAUUAUUAACUAGACAUGGUCACUGGCCUAGACUUAAAUAAAUAAAAAAAAAAAAAAAAAAAAAAAAACCCCCAUCCCUCUGGUUUUACAUUUUUUCACUUUAAUGACCUGCGGUUUAAACUUUAUCAAUUUAGUGCCAUAUGGUUUCAUUUUUAUCUUUUUUAUUACGAAUUUCACUAGUUUUUUCGUUAAAUCAAUGACAAAGUUAAAACUAAAAGGUACUAAAGUGAAUAUUCGAUAAACCUAGGUGGGGGAUCUGAAGUUUUUUUUAUAUAAUUUAAUGAAAUGUUAACGGAAAGCUGACAAAAAAAUAAAAAUAAAACCAUAUGACACUAACUUGAUACAUUUUAAACCACAAGGAUUCUAAAGUAAGAACAUGCACAACCACAGGACUGAUAUUUGAAGUUUACCCAAAAAAAAAUGGAGGUUGAGAGGGUGAAAAAAAAAAAAAAAAACCAAGAAAAAGGGAAGGAUAAAAUGGAUGGUUAGUGCCUUUAUUACCUCUUAUUAAUUUCAGUACCUGAAAUUUUCUGAGCUCACGCAUUUAUAUAUUAUCCAUAUGUAUAAAUUUGAAUGUUCCCGAACCAGACACCUACUAGGGUAGUACAAUGACUCCUACGGCUAGUCCUAAUGUGAGCUAGUUUGCUUACGGAAUUACUUAAUCCGACGAAUGAGGUGUGCAUCGAGAGUGUUCGAAAAUCUUACUUGAAUCAAUGGAACUACGGCAUAAGUCCAAAAGCCAACGAUUUUGAUUGAGACCAUUUUCCUUUAACUUAGAACAACGAAAUUAAUCAUGUACCAUCUCCUGCCGCCAAAUAUUUCAAUCACUAGAUAAAUAAAUCAAGUCUAACGAAACUGAUUAUCCAUGAAAGUCUCAGUAUCGAAAAUGACUUGAAUAGUUCGGAGGCUACCGUACUUCUAAAAACAUACAAACUGAACUCUCUCUCUCUCUCUAUAUAUAUAUAUAUUAUUGUUGGACUUGAACCUUGACUCAAUCGACUCACAGUAGGUUUUCUAACUUUGAAUAUCAAAUCAAAGGCACGAAAGUCAAACUUGCUCAGACCGAUUGAGUUCGGUGCAGGAGAGUUAUGUGCAUCCAAACAUUCUCUUAGUUUUUAAAUUUUCUCGUAUAUUAUACUUUCGCAACUAACUUUUACAAUUUAUGAUCGUUUUCAAUCAAAUGGUACCACUUUUUCUCUGAAAUUGUCUUUUCAGAGUAGUACAAAAUUUUAUCGAAUUAGUGAAUGGUCCCAUUAAGUUUUUUGGCUCUAUGUACAUUUAAUUGCAGAUAGUGUAAAUUUCGUCUGUAAUUAUCAAUCAAUAUUAAUUAAAAAUAUCAAAUUUUACAAAGAAUCCCUACUCUAAUUCACUUAAGUAAUUUAAAUAGAAAUUUAAAAAAAUUAAGGUACAUAGUAUAUAUAUUAUAUAUAUAAAGAAGAAAAAACUGUCUCGACACAUUAUUAUCAGAUUAUAUAUGGAAAAAUGUAUUAUCCACAACAUUAUGACACAAAAAAUAUAUUUUGAACUAAUUAUAUUGUACUAUAUGAGAUGGCGAGGAAUUUAGUUAAAAGCGAUAUGAUAAUUUUGUAUCUAAAUAUUGCUUUGGAAAAUUGAUAGGUAAAUGCAAUACGAAAUGCAUGCGUGGUUAAAAUUGAUGAUGUGAUCUUCAUAUUGAGACCCAGAAGAGUACAAAGUGAUAUUUUUGGGCCCAAAAUAUGUUUUCAACGUAUAAUUGAAAACACAAUCAUAUAAGAAUUGAUCUUAGCGCACGCAUGAAUCAACCACACCAUGAUCUCAUGUUGAACUGUUCUUGCUCCCAACUACUUAAUUAACCAACCCAAUUUUGUGACAAACCCACACAACCACCCAAAAAUGUACAAGAGUUAUGUACGUAGCAUGUGAAUAUCAAACCACCAUACAAGUGGAAACAUGUGAACUCCAACAAACAAAUGGCCAAGUGUUGCACCAUAUAUACAUGUAGGAAACCACAAAAAGCAAUUGCACCAAAACCAUGGGCUUGUGGUUGCUUAAACAAUUGGAUAUAUCUCACUCUUUUGAUGCCACCAACAAAGAAAAGGAUCCCUAGGUAAUAUAUAUAGCUAGUAGUGGCCAAUGGCAUGAUAAUUAAAUUUGAUAAAGUUAGCUAGGUUAAAUAAAUUUAUUGUAUAAUGGAGAGCAAAUUAAGAUAUAUAGGGGGUGGCUUAUUUCGUACACCUUUAUAUCAUGUCACACAAAGCUACCACCAUAUAUAUGGAUAGAGUUCAGUUAUGAUACUUGUAAAAGCACCAAGCAUUUGGUGCUUGUAAAUUUUUUACCGUUAGAUCUACGUUUUUUAUCAUUUUCACACGUUAGAUCAUACUAUUCAACAAACCACCCACUCAGCCCUAGAGUUCCCACAUCAUCCUAUCCGCACAUCCCUUAAUCCAAGGGUGGAAAACUUAGAAGUACCAAUGACUUGAUACUUUUAAAAGUAUAGGAGCUCAAUUAUAUAUAUAUAUAUAUAUAUAUAUAUAUAUAUAUAUAUAUAUGCANCUCUCUCUCUCUCUCUCUCUCUCUCUCUCUCUCUCUCUCUUGUAAGGAUCAUAUGUCGGAUGUUAGAUCAUACUAAUAUUAAAUCAUAUCUUCUGUCGUGAUUUUUUAUUUCUAUAGACAGAUUUCAAAUGACGGUUUUGUAGUUUUUGCUUAUAAUUCCUCAUCGAUCGUUCAAGAUCUGCAAAGGAACGGAAUGUUUCCAAUUUAUUCCCUUUUUUCGAGAAGGAGAUGUUAUAGAAAAAUUAGGGGUAGCUAGAGUUAGUCGAUGUGGACUCCCGUUACAAGUAUAUAUAUAUAUAUAUAAAUUCUAAUGUAAGGAUGUCCAAUUAUGUUUGUCCAUUAAAAACGUGUCCAGAGAUACAUUGUAACCGUUGGAUCGAGUUUGUCAUUAGAUAUCGUUUUGAAUAAAUUACGUGGGUCAUAUAUAACAUAGAAGAGCUAAUAUACAGGCAAAGGGUUGUGUUGUAGAUAAGCUCGCGCCUAACAAUACCAAUUAAUGACUUAAUCUUAUCCAUAAUUAAUGAAAAGUUUAUGCGCUACAAGUGUAUAUAUAUACAUUACCUCCCAAUUAACAAAGUGUGAAGCUUAAAGGUGAACAAGAGCAAAUUGGUAUUACAUGCUUGAUCUAAUUCAUGUUAUGAAAAUAGUAUAUAUAGUACCAUAUUUGAUUUGCGAAAGAAAUAAUCCUGACAUGCAUAUAAUGCGAAAGAUAUUGAUAUGCUUCCCCCAAUCAACUUAAGUUUUGAAUUGAUUUGAGCCUUUAACAAAAAAUUUAUGUUAUAAAAAAGAUAAUAUUGUAGUAAACAUAUUCUAAUAGUUUGUAUACAUAUUGUAGUAUAAUAUUGUAAUGUAGUAUACAUAUUCUACUAGUUAAUUUGUAUGCGAAACUCAAGCUGAAAGGAAGCUCUUAUUUAAUGCUCAAGGAAUAAUUAAUAGACCUACCACACAAGAAACUCAGAUUCCUUCUUUAUUUAUCAAUGCUUAUCACAUCUAAAAAGGAAGCACAAACAUGGAACAUAGUAAUAAUUAACAUUAACCCAAAAUAAUAAUAAUUAAAUUUAAACUUUAAGCACCAAGGUUUCUAAAAAUUGCAAUCUAGCUAGAAACAAUUAAUGUCUUUGUCUAUUUUGAAGCUAAUUUUCAGUUGUAUGUUGGUCCCACCUAUAUAUCUGAGAAACAUAUACACCCUGACCGUCCCUAGAGCAAGUGGCAAAGGGCUUGGUGAUUGAUACCCGAGACCCAAGUUCGAAUCCUAGUUGAUUCACAUUUUCAGUUAAGUUUAUUUCUAAAUGAAAUAAAUGAAGCGGGUAGCGUGCUACCUAUCUCUAAAAAAAAAAAGAAAAAACAUAUACACCCUGACCAACUUUGUAGUAUAUUCUACAUUAAAUUCUUUGACACGAUUAUUUUGUUUGAAAUAACCAGUGGUCUUAAGAUCCAUAAUUAAUCUCUUUUAUUGAUAACCAAGCCAUACAUAUAUCCUAAAAUUGAGUAUUGCAUAUAAUUUUUCUUAUUUAUCGUAUCGAUGUACUGACAUACUGAUGCACCACGCAUGCAUUAGAUAUUUCGAAAAAAUAAUACAGAAUAUAUUAUUAGGGAACAUUAUAAUUUUUUUUUUCUUUUUUUUCUUAAACACAUUGGUAUCUCUAGGUGAUUGAAAUGUGAAAGCUAACCAAUCGAAAAAAGAAAAAAAGAAAAAUGAAAAAUGAAAAUAAGACACACAACUUAAAAAGAAAAACAAAAAAAACCUUCAAAUCCCAAAAUUACCCUCCAAAUUUUGCCAUUAUAAAAAGCCACUCCCUCGCCCCUCCUCUUUCCCCAUUCCCCCACCCUCUCUCUCUCUCUCUCUCUCUCUCUCUCUCUCUCUCUCCACUUUUCUAAACCCUAAACCACUUUUCACAGGGAGGAGAGCUAGAGCAUGAGACCGGGGAUCGGGGGCGUCCCACCGCCGCCGCACCCGCUGCCACCUUCUCCGGCGGCGGCGGCGGAGGCCCACUCGCCGUGGCGAUCGCCGGUGCCGUACCUCUUCGGGGGGCUCGCGGCGAUGCUCAGCCUCAUCGCCUUCGCCCUCCUCAUCCUCGCCUGCUCCUACUGGAAACUCUCCGCCCACCUCGACCCCGACUCCGACGACCCCCGCCGCGGCGGCGGCGGCGCCGCCUCCUCCUCCUCCGGCGGGAAGGGCUCCGGCGGCGGCCCCACCGAGCCCCCGCCGGCGUUCGAGGAGCGCAUCGCCGUGAUCAUGGCCGGGAACCAGAACCCAACGCACCUCGCCACCCCCACCUUCAGGGGAGCGGUAACCGCACCGCCCCGUGACGGGACUCGCGAGGGAGAAGCAAAUGAGUAGUGAAGAGUUUUUAUCUUUUAUAUAUAUUUUUUUUAAAAAAAAUUAUUUUAACUUUUUUGGGGGGGGUUUAGGGUUUGGAUGGUGGAGAUGUUGUUAUUGUUUUGGACCGAAAUGUAAAUUUGUGAAAUUUUUGGGAUGAGGAAGGAGAGCGACAAGGCUUUGUUAAUUUAUUUCAUCAUAAUGCAGGGUGUGAAUUGAAAUUUUUUCCUCUUCUAUUUAAGCAUCUAAAAGGUGGUUGUGUAUGAUCAUAUAUGAGUCACACAAGUAACGUUUUCCCUUUAUAUAUGUAUAUAUAUAUACACAUAUAUAUAUAUAUAUAUAUUUAUAUAUAUAUAUAUAUAUAUAUAUAUAUAUAUAUAUAUAUAUAUAUAUAUGAGCGCGUCUGGGGUGCUUUUGGAAGCACGGAGCACUCCGUGCUUCCAAAUUAUUUUCGAUGUUGGAACUUUCGAAUCGACGAUCGGCUCCGUUAGACUUGAUCUAGAGUAUUUAAAGUAUUUAAAAAAUAAAUUUCGCGAUUUUUCGAUAUCAUUUGCCUAGUGAUCGAAGAGGCUCAAAAUCAACGACUGAAAAUAAAAAUCUUACAAAAUAGGAUGAUAUGAAAUUAAAAUUUUAGAUCAAAAUUAUUGAUCUUGUUUUAUAUGGUAUAAAGAAUUUUCUAUGAAAAUUUCAUAUGAUUUGGAUAUUUCUACAUUGUUAAACUUGCAAACGGCUCACCACGGCCAUUAAAAUUAUUGAAUUUGAGUCCCUUCAAUCACUAGGCAAAUAAUUUUAAAAAAUCACAAAAUUUAUUUUCUAGGUACUUCAAAUACUCUAGAUCAACUCUAACGGAGCCGACCGUCGAUUCGAAAAUACGAAUAUCGAAAACAACUUGGAAGCACGGAGGACUCGUGCUUCCAGAAGCAUACCAGCCCACUCAUAUAUAUAUAUAUAUAUAUAUAUAUAUAUAUAUAUAUAUAUAUAUAUAAUAUAUAUAUAUAUAUAUAUAUAUAAAAAUAGUUUAUUGCAGGAAAAAAAAAUUAAGCUUCAAUUUUAGAAUAAUUCGAAAAACUUAAUUCAAGCCACGUCUUAAAUCUAUAAUAUAAGAAAAAAGGAGCACAAAUAUAAAGAGAAGCAUGGAACAUAGAUAUUAACUAAGAUAUAAAUGUUGGUACGUACUCUGGAAGUUCAAAUUCGAAAUCUAAUUAAUACGAAUUAGAUAUAUAGAAAUUGAUUACUUUUGUUCCAAAUUGUCAAUUAUGGGUUAUUUGGUUAAAUUUUAAUAGUUUGGACUGCAUGAAGCAUCAAAUACACAUAAUCCUGCUAAGUAUAUUUAUUAUAAGUAUUAAAUCUUGUUCAGCAAAGUAAAUAAUAUAUAUAUAUAUAUAUAUAUAUAUAUAUAUAUAUAUAUAUAUAUAUAUAUAUAUAGUAUGAUAGUUGUGUAAAUAACUUUCUGUUACAAUUACUAAUAAGAUUUUGUAGUGGGCAAAAAAAAAAAAAAAAGAGAAAAGAUAAUUUAUGAAGAAUUUUUAAGUAAAGAGAGGUUUGUAACUUUGCAUAUUGAAGUGGACUUCACUUUAAAUAGACAAUUUUGCAGGGGUGAUUAUGUCUUUUUCUUCCCCAGCACCUGAAUCGAAUCAGAUAAAAUACACACUGAAGCUGUGCAUAUAAAAACAAGGUGUUAGAAUAUAUGUCUCUUCCUCUUCUUCUUUUUGUUUUUUAAGGGUAAAUUUUAUGAAUAGUUAUUUAAUUAUUUCACUAAAACAUUAGAAUUUCGAAGUGUAUAUACCAGACAUUUUUAGAAGCAUGCAUGUUUUCGUACUCUUAAAUUAUUUUCGAUAAUCAGACUUUCAAAUUAAUGACUAGCUCCAUUAAAUAUUUAAAAUAUUUAAAGAAUAAAUUUUAUUAUUUUCGAUAUCAUUCUCUCAGUGAUCUAAAUAACUCGACGACUGAAGAUAAAAAUCUCACAAAAGAAUAAAAAUAAUAUAGACACCCCCUCAAUUGUGGUCAUUUUAAAUUAGUCCUUCAAACAGCUCCUAUUUAACGCAUUUCUUUAAUUAAAAAAAUAAAUUGCUAAAUUUGAUAAUUCAUCAUUAAGUUUGAGAAUAUUUUUAUUUCAAUUGACUGAAAUAAUUUAAAUAAAAAGAAAAUAAAAUCUAAGGAGUGUCAUUAAGUGAGAUUUUUUUUUAAAAUAAAAAAUAAAAGCUGAGAGACCUAUUUCAUAAAUACGUAUAUUUCUAACUUAAAUAAUUAUGAAUUUGAUUAAAAAUAAUUCUUCAAAAUUUUUAACAUAAAGUAAAAUUUGUGAUUCUAAAACAACAGUAUAAAUAAUAAUAUUAUGAAAAAAAAAUUAUUUAUUUAUUUAUUUUUUGUAGUAUUAAACUAAAGUGCAUGAUAUAGUUUUUUUUAAAAAAAAUUAAUAAUUUGCUAAAAUAAUUAGUCCAAACCAUGUAAGUACAAUACAGUAUGUGCACAUUAUCCAGGCUUUUAAAUUUUUUUUAAAAAAAAAUUUCAAAGCGGUAAGUAGUAAGUGGUAACUCAAACCCGCAUAGUAAACUACACGCCACGUGGCAACGAUCCAUUGGCCCGACGGUGGUGGGUGUGCGCGUUGGCUUGUAGCCGCGGUUUUGCGAUGGAAUGUAUGCGGCGACCCGACACCGCGAAAGCUUCACGGCGUAAUAAUGGCGGAAUAUUCGAGGGAUCGUACGGGACGGGGCUGUCGUUAGGGAACGGGGGAGAUCGCGCCACGUGGCAAGGCGGUUACUGUUGCGAACAUUUGGCUCUCGGUCGUGAAAAUGUAUGAAGACCCCCUCAGCUAUAGCCAAUUUUGAAGCACUCCCCUCAACUUUUGCCCUUUUUGUUUUUUUUCUGGAAUUUAAAUCCAAAUUUGCAUGCAAUUUGGGUGCCAGUAAUAAUUCCCUCAAAUUAUCUUGUGUGUACAAUAUAGUAUCAGAGCAGAGUAUUCUAAUUAAAUUCGAACCCCGCCAGGUCCCUAUUCUUAUUUAGUUUUCUCUUAUUUAAUUUAUGUCCAUGUCGUAGAUUUAUUAAAAAAAUGUUUCGAUUUCGGACGCCAGUGAGAGUGUUAAACAUAAACGUUAGAAAUACUGUUAUGUUAUGGAGAAACAAUUGUUUUCACAUUAUUUAGCAUCCAAGUAUCACAAGAAAAGUUCUCCAUGGUUGUUACUAGAAUAUAAAGUUAUAAUUAGCUCUACAUCCCAAUGAUUCAUUAAUAUAAUUAGUUUGUCUAAAAUCAUUAGCUAGUAGAGGCCAUACUAUAACUCUUCAUAGCAACUGAUUACUAAGUUUGUACAAGUUAUACUCUAAUAAUCAAUUAAAUAGUAUAUAUAUAUAUAUAUAUAUAUGUUACUAUACUGUCGGUAGUAUCAAGCACUUGGUGUUGUUGAGUUUUCGAUCGUUGGAUGAGAGGAUGUGCGGUUAGAAUGACAGUGGUAUCUGAUUACGAUGAUAAUAAUUUUUUAGGAUUGAGUGGAUGGUUAGUUGAAUAGUAUAAUCUAACGGAUGAAAAUGAUCAAAGAAUAGAUCUAACGAUAAAAAAUUCGAUAGUACUCAGAGCUUAAUACCAUGGAUCGAUAGUAUAGUAGUUGGACUCUCUCUCUCUCUCUCUCUCUAUCUCUAUAAAGGGUUAUGACACAAAUAUAUAAAUCUUCUUUUUUCUUUUUGUUGAAAGCUAUAGAUAUAUAUGUCUUGAAGGGAAAUAUUUUCUGUUAGGGAGGUGUGAAAAUGAAAAAUAGAUUUAGUGGGAGACAACUUAUAUGCAAAAGAAGAUGCCACUAUAUAUAUGAGUGAGGGGGACCCAUUGUAUACUAAUAAGAGGCACAUUUUGGGGAACCCAAAAAAAUAAUGGGGAACACAACAGGGCCACUCAACUACUAACUUUUUUAGGAAUUCACCCAAAAAAAAAAAAAAGAGAACUUUUGUUUUGGACAAGAUUCUCAUCAAGAGUGUUUUUGAAGUAUCUUCAAAAUGGUGUAAUUGAUCAUUUUCUUUGUCAUAUCACUUUGAAAGUAAAAAAAUUUGGAAAAACAAGGUUGCCUUGUUCAUGUAAUUAGUGUUUUCUAUGUGAAAUCUAUACUUUAAUUACUAGAGUAGUUCAUAGGAUAUAGUUUUUUAAAAAUCUUCUUUUUUUUUUUCUUUUUCAAUUUUUUGAAAUAGUACUAAUAAUCAUGGCCCACAAUCAAAUUCAGGAGGGUAGGCAAUCCAAUAUAUUAUUUUACCGGUGUAACUCCAACGGCGUCAUUACAAUCACCAAAGCGAAAAACUACAAACUACUACUACUUACGCUUAGUUCGUUGUCUAAACACUUUUGAAAGAUCUGGAAAACUCGAAAGCGCUAUAUUACUUUCUCCGUGCGGCUUUCCAAAGUAUAGAAGCGGUUGCUUUUGGCAACGCUACGUCGUUGAGUAGUAGAUUCUGAAUUCAAAUGUCGCUAAAUACUAGAAAGAAUGCGUGACUGUGGUUUACCAGCGUGUAUCUUCAAAACAGGCCGAAGUAAGUGUAAUGGAAUAAAGUGCAAAUGGGCCAAGAAAACAGCGCAAAUUUUUUCAAAUUCGGUCCGAUCUUUUUGUGCAGUGAUGAAAAGCUUAUCUUGGUGGUGGUUUGGCCCAACUAUUCCUCAUGAAAGAAGGCUGAAGUGCAGGUUUAGACCAGAUUCCAAACUUAGGUUACCGUAAAUUAUGGAUUAGCUUUGAGCUUCAUCCUAAUGAUAAGGAGGGGAAAAAAAAUCAUUAAUUAUUAUGAUUUCUAGCAUAAGAUUUUUAUAUUAUUGCAAUCAACUCUUACAUUUAGUUCAGUUACCUAGAUGCUGAUAUGUAUCAUUGAUAUGAUUGCGAUCUGCCAUGCAUUUUAAUUAUUAUCGGUCAUAUUAUCAAAUAAGAUAUUAUUACGUGAGUAAUAAAUUAAUAUUUAGUCAAUUAAGUUAGACCGAUGUAGAAAUUGACUGCAAUAAUUUAAAAAGUUUAAACUAGAAAUUAUAAUAAGAUUUGGCCCCAAAAAAAAAGAAAAGAAAUUGAGGUCAAACAGGUUGUAAGGUCUCCACGUGGCAGAGAAAUACACGUUGACCAGAGAAAGCUGCCAGCCUCCCAGCUGGGAAACUCCAUGCGGCGACUCUAGCAACAUAAAAAAUUUUAAAAUGUACCAAUUAUUAUAUUAGUGAUGUAACGUGUUCAACUAAUCAAAUAAUUUUUUUUUAGGUUUAUUCAUCCCAUCAUAAUUAUAAAAGAAAUAUUUUUAUUAUAAUUUUUUUAAAAAAUAAAUAUGAUUAGCUUGUUAUUGAUGAUGUGGUGCAAAUUAAUAUGAUACAGUAAAUUUUCUCUAGUAACACACAUGUUUGGCCACGUGUGCACCAAAUAAUCCUCUCAGUAUUUGUAUAUGGAGUUCCAACAAAAAAUACUCAAUCCGACAUUGCACUUGUAAUUAAGAGCUUAUCAUAAUUUCAAAAUAGAAUGUAUAUCUUAUACUUUUUUUUAAAAAAAAUUUAUUAUUUUUUUAUUUUACUAUAAUUUAUUUGAAAUUUUGUAAAUUCUAAGAUGGGUGUGUAAGAUCGAACUCUUCCCUUUGUGGUCUACAAAUAGAAUUUUUCAUAAUUUAUUAAUUUUUUUUUGCAUUUGGUCUCCAUAAAAGAAAUUUAUUUUUUGAGUAAUUAAAUUAAAAUUAUAAAUACAAAAAUAGUUCUAUAUUUAUACACAUAGACGCACGCAGGGUAGAAGAAAAAUAUUUUAAGUAAACACGAUGAUUCAUUCACCGAAUCUAGAAUAGUGUAUGAAGAGAAAGAGACAUGCAUUUUGUUUUUAAAAUCUAUUAUGUUGCGUAAAAACACAGUAUGUGAUUUACCAUAUAUAUUCACUUAAAAUAUUUGAGUAAUUGAUAUUUAUUUAUAUUCAUAAUGUUGAUAGAAUUAUUUAUAAAAUAUUUCUUUUUGAGAGAGCUAAUUUAAUUAAAGAAGGGCCCGGUAUUACUACUUACGUAUUGUUUAGCCGGCCGAGGGCGGCUUUACGUGACAAAUACUUUUCUCGAUCUCUCCUAAUCACCACUUAAAAUCUCCAUCGCAUUUCGAAUAAAUACAUACAAAAGAGGCAAAUUGGAGAUAGAGACAUACAUUCAUAUAUAUAAGAGAGAAUGGUUAGCAUUUGAUAAGGGUUUGUUGUCGUGUCAACGGAGAUCGAUCAAUCGAUCGAUCGGUUGAUUGAUCGUCGGAGGGCGGCCGCGAUGGGUGCGGUGGCGAGCUCUUGCUGCUGCAACGAGAAGGUGGAUCAAGUGUAAGUUGAUCGGUUAGCAGAAUGAGCUCCGUAUAUAUCUGUGAAAGUUUUCCCUUUUUUUUUUUUUUUUUUCUUUGUUUUGUCGGACGAGCUUUUGCAGAAGUGCAUGUUUAUAGCACGAGCAGGUUUGACACGAAACCGUAGUUUAGUGCGGUUCUGAAUAAGCUUCGAUUUGGGGCGAGCUUUUGACGUCCUGAGCUAAACAUGCCCUAAGAACGUGUUUAGCCUAGCUUUUUUCGUGCUCUCUCACCGCACUUGAUCGCGUAACUGAGUGAGCUUUGUAAAUAUUUGUGAAUGUUUUCUAUUAUAAAUUAGUUUCUGCAGAAGAGCACGUGGAUUAGCACGAGCGGGUUUAACAUGCAAUUGUAGUUUAGUACAGUUUUGAAUACGCUCCGAGCUGGGACAAGCUUUUGAUGACCUGAGUUCAACAUGCCCUAAGAAUGUGUUUAGCCUAGCUUUUCCGGUGCAAUACGGUCGUGCACCAAAUUAUCCACCGAAAAAGUGAGAUACCGUAGCGCGAACUAAGGGAGUUGGUUGACGAGUCACUAAUACUUUUCUCAUUAAUUCAAAUCUCCCACAACAACUCAGACCAUUUAUUUUGGGGCUCAAAAGUUUAUUUUAAUUUGUUUUAGCAGAUGUUAACUAAUGGUGAUGAUAUUGUAGGUGCAUGUGGUUAAUUUAUACAUAUAUAUGUUUUUUUUUAUAAAUUAAAAUAGGUGUGUGAGUGGAGUAGUGAAUAGUACGUGGAGGAUAUUCACUUACAAGGAGCUGUACUCUGCAACCAAUGGAUUUAGCGAGGGGAAUUUGCUCGGAGAGGGAGGAUUUGGAAGCGUUUAUUGGGGAAAAACCUCAGAUGGGCUUCAGGUAUUUUUUAUACAUAAAUAUAUAUUUUUUAAUUAAUUGUUUUGUAGUAUUUUUUUUAGUAUAUUUUAUGUAAGAACUUAUUAUAAAAGUGGCAUUAGUUACUGUAAAAAGAAAAAAAGAAGCUAAAAAAAUUAUGUAAAUUAUAGCUUAUUUUGAAGGCAAAACUUUUGGAGAUAUUGAAGCAGUUGUGAGAGUGAGUAGCGUUCAAAUAUUUCAUAAGUUAACACCUUGAGCAUCGACUACUCCAUGUCCUGAGUUUUUUAAAAAGUAUUCGCCAAAAAAAAUAUUGUUUGUGUUAGCCAAAAAAUCGAUACGAUAGAAAACGGAUCAGAAUUAGUCUUAACACCUUUACUCCUGUAUAUGUUGAAUAUUAGAUGAAUCAUGUCACUUAUACUAACGAGUGAAUGUAACUCAUGACCUCUCAAAAGUGAGGAAGUUUAGAACUCGCUCCGAUAUCAUGUUAUGCAAAAAAUCGAAGCGAGCGCAAGUUGUAAGCAUAAGUGUAUAUAUUUUGUAGAUAGCGGUGAAGAAGCUGAAGGCAGCGAACAACUCGAAGGCAGAGAUGGAGUUCGCGGUGGAGGUGGAGGUGCUGGCGAGGGUGCGGCACAAGAACCUGCUCGGCCUGCGGGGAUACUGCGCCGGUAGCGAGCAGCGGCUCAUCGUCUACGACUACAUGCCCAACCUCAGCCUCCUCUCCCACUUGCACGGCCAGUUCGCCAGCGAGGUUCGGCUCGAUUGGAAGAAGAGGGUGAAUGUCAUGUUGGGCUCCGCAGAAGGGCUGGUGUUAGUGAUCCUGUCGAUGCCUUUUUGACUCCACUUUUGCUUCUGCUUUCAGUUCUUAUCAUUUCUUAUAUAAUAUUUUUCAGCAAAAGAAAUUCGUAGAUUCUGCUAUGAUCGUAAGCUAAAAUGAUAUGAUCAGCGCUCCCCUAAUGUUUGCUGAACUAGCAUAGUACUUUUCCUAAAAGCAGUAUUUACAUAAAAUUUAUUAAGUAACACUGCGUAAGUUUGAUAUUAACAAAAAGAGAAUUCUAAUAGUAAUGUUUACGUGCACGAUUUUCUUAGACAUUGGCUAAAGAAAGGACUCACCAGGUAAUAUUUGAUUUGUUAUGAGCUAAACUUAAAAAAACCUUUAAAAAAUUAUAAUAUUUGAUUGACGUGUUACCUAUCGUAUGUAUAUAUAUAAACGCAGGUAUCUACACCACGAGGUGAGCCCGCAUAUCAUCCACCGGGACAUCAAGGCCAGCAACGUGCUGCUGGACUCCGACUUCGAGCCCCUCGUGGCCGACUUCGGCUUCGCGAAGCUCAUCCCCGACGGCGUCAGCCACAUGACGACCCGCGUCAAGGGCACCCUCGGUUACCUCGCGCCGGAGUACGCCAUGUGGGGGAAGGUCUCCGGCAGCUGCGACGUCUACUCCUUUGGCAUCCUCCUCCUCGAGCUCAUCUCCGGCCGGAAGCCCAUCGAGAAGCUCCCCGGCGGGAUCAAGCGCACCAUCACCGAGUGGGCCGAGCCCAUCAUCGCCUCGGGCCGUCUCGGCGACCUCGUUGACCCCAGGUGAAUAAUAAAAAAAAAUGGGUAGAAACAAUUUCGGUCCAACCCAAGGCCCAUUUUGAUGAUUUAAGCCCAAUAUGUAAUGCAUCAGAAAUUCUUUGUUAUCUGAGCUAUGUCUCGAAUUUAUUCCGAAUGCUGAACUUGUGCCAUUCUAUGCCUAAGGUUACGCGGAGAGUAUGACCCGGUCCAGCUGCGAAGAGUAGUGGAGGCCGCCGCGCUGUGCGUGCAGGGAGAGCCCGAGAGGCGGCCCGACAUGCGGGAGGUGGUGGCGAUACUCAGAGGCGAAGAUACAACGAUGACAGCAGAAGCGGCGGCGGCGGCGACGACGAAGGGAGGACGAGAUAAGGUAGGGGACAAGAAAAUGCUAAGGAUUGAGAGUGUCAGUUAUGGGGAGCAUUUGAUGAACAAGUAUGAUGAUGGUGGUGGUGACAACGGUGAUGAUGAUGAUAAUAAUGAUGAUGGUGAGAUGGGGGAUGAUGUGGAGAGCAAGAGUAUGUAUGGGGUGUUUGGGGUGAUGGACGUGCAGAAGAUGCGUGAUCCCUACAUGAGGCAUGGGGAUGGGAGGCGGGUCAUGCAUGGAUGAUGAUGAGCCAUGAUGCAUAAUGAUGGAUGAUGGAUGAUGCCAUGCGUGUAUUGGUAGAUGAAUCAUAGCAUGGACCUUAUUUUAACUUUGGAUGGGCUAAGGAGAAAGAAUGGAAUUUUUGGGCCUUCUUAUUACACUAAAUUGCAAAAAAGAAAAAAUUCUUUGUCCUUUGAUUUUUGGAAGUUGUUCUAUUGCUAUCAAGGUUGAGAACUGAUAUGUAGAGUGUUGGACUACUUUGUUGAUACAGAUAUCAAUGAAAUUGUUGGCUAAUUAAAUACAUUUUGUUUUGUGUGAAGUGAAUUUUUGCUCUUAGUUAAAUUAAUUUUCCUGUAAUUUUUUUUAUCCUUUGUUGGUUUUAUCGAAUAUUUAUCUUCUUGUAACUUAUGAUAAUAUACGUUGAAUAUAUAUAUAUAUAUAUAUAUAUAUAUAUAUAUAUAUAUAUAUAUAUAUAUANAAUGAUUGUUGUUCUCCAAUAACUUAAGCUGCUAGAGAAUAAUAUUUUUUCUACUUUUAAUUCAAACACUUCAGCUUUUUUAUAAAUCCAAAACAUAGGUUUAAAUUAAAUAUAAAAAAAAAUUAAUAAGACUAAAAAAUUGAUAGAACUCAAAACACAAAACCUCCUACUUUAAUAUCAUGUUAAAAAAAAAAAAGACCCAUCAAUUGUUCUCCAAAAUUUUAAACUACCACAACACAACACGGUAUUUUCAAAUUUUAUAUUCAACAAAAUAAAGUUGGUGCUAGUGGUUAAAACCACUAUCUGGUGGAGUUAAAAGAAAACUUGGUACAAUGGCUGAUGAUCUUUCUAUAAAAAUAGAAUGUAGUAAUGAUGAAAACAAAACACAAGAGUUAAAAGAAAACUUGGUACAAUGGCUGAUGAUCUUCCUAUAAAGAUAGAAUGUAGUAAUGAUGAAAACAAAACACAACAAAAAAAUGCAUUUUUUUUUUACCUUAUUACUAAGCAAACAGUGAAGCGCUAGAGAGAACAAAAGAGUUUACCAUGAUCCUCUUUAGUCAAAGUAAUUGCACAAAUUAUAGUUGAAAGAGUACAAUUCCUGUAGCAGGUAAUUAAAAGUGAUUGGAUACCACGAAUAAAGUGAAAUUAAAGAGCAUGUAAAACACAAAUUGCAGAUAUAAGUCUUAUGAUGCCCAAAUAUUUGAUCCAAAGGAAGUUGCAUAGUGUAAAUUGUUCACAUGAUACAGAUAAUAUCACUAAUGCCAGAUGAAUACUUUCUCCAUCUUCUCUUUUUCUUGUUAGUGAUAACAAGAAGGUUUUAGAAAAGGAAAUAAUUUUGGUUGUCUACAUUAAAAGUUGUGCUAAAGACAAUUGUUAAAAGGAAGAUGGCAUUUCAAAGCCGGCACGAAGACAGCCACAUUGCAGAAGUUUUACAACCUGAAACAAUGCCGACAGAAAAGGGUACACAUACUCGGGAGCGCAUUCGCCGCACAAACGCAAAGGAUUUUUCCUAAAGAACUCCGAUACAAAUUGAUGAUACAACAACAAUAGUAAAGUGAGGGAAAUGAGCCGCCAACCGAAGAAGAGUAGCAAGAAGGCUUCAAAUCUGCUGCCUUCUGGUAGGGCUAGUAAUACCAAAAGCACACAAAAAAUACGUAGGAAAAGAAAAGGGGGGAAAAGAUUAGGUUUACGUGCGUCGCUCAAGCAGCGCAUUUAUUAUACCUCGCAGCAAAACGACUUUCACCAAAAUUACCAAAUGAGAAGGAGGGGGAGAAUACCUUUUUCCUUUAUAGUUUCAGGAACACGAACUCCACAAUGGCCGGUAUCUCCCCAAUCAUCCUGAGAGUCUCCUUGUCAGGUUCCUCAUCAACGCCAAUACCCAUUAUAGCUUGUUUUCCUGGCGCAUUCCUCCCAACACUCAUGAAAUUCACAUUGAUGUUUUUCUCGCCGAGAAUUUUUCCCACUCGUCCGAUUAUACCAGGCUGAUCGACCUGCCGACACAGUAUCAGAUUCCCCUCCAAGCCCACAUCCACAGUGAAAGAUCCCACAAGUGUUAAAUAGGGUAUACCAUCUUUAACCCUUCCCUCUAGGACUAUAUCCCCGUUAUUAUCCAGUAAAGCGCCAGCAAAUUUGGAGUUCACGUUCGCGAUGUGGACUCGGAUAGAUUCAAUAGGAACUUCCAGAGAGCCACCGAUGGAGAUUCUCUCUUCGCUGAUUCGGAGACCUCUUUGUUUGGCAGUGUAGUCGGCGUUCACAAUGUUAAUGCGAACGCUGGAGAUGGGUUCGAGAAUGCCUUUGGUUAUCAUGGCUCGGAGAAUUCGAGUGUCCAAGUCAUCAGGGUCUCGAGCUGAGGAGUAUACUACUUUUACUCCUCGAACGCCACUUCCGCCAGUUAUGAGUUGGACAGCUAACUUGCCUAGCUUCUCGGCAAGGGCAAUAUAAGGGGAUAGCUCGGAUAAAACCUGUGAGAGAAGGACAAUAGUUUUAGAUAGAAGUUUAAAUGUCCAUCAAGCUGCUAGAGCUUGUUUCACCUGGCUAAGAAUUCUGCACAUAUGGUCUCUGAGUAAAGCUACUCGAAGAAGUACUUAAAACUCUAUUAUUUAAAAGGUUUUCUGUAUCCAUAGACUACUACAAGUCUACAAGUGAGAUAAUGCAAAUAGCAUUCGAGAGUUACUAUCUGCACACAUGCCCCAGAAACUUCACUUAUUUGCAAGUGUCCCCAAACAUUUAGAUGGUUUUGCAUAUAUGCCCUGCAAGCAACGAACAUAAAAGCCAAGGUUCUCACUCUGGAAUGGGUUUUGCUUUGCAGGAUAUAUAUGCAGAAAACCCAACAACUGAAACUGGAAGCAAAAUCUCCAAAUUGAAGCUUCUGCUUUUCAGUUCUCAAUGCUCAUUUCAGCUUCCAGUGACAGCAGGAAGGGUCCACCAAGUUUUUGCCACUUGCCUGGCUUUUGCUUCUCAUACAGAAGCUAUUCCAGAAGAUUGGGCGAAAGAGGCACAACUAGUUAAAAGUGAUCACCUCAGCAGGAACCAUGGGGGCAUUCACAGCCGUAGCAGCAAGUUCACCUUUCAAUGCUCCAAUAACAGCUUCUGCUAUUUCUAUGGCUACACCUUCCUGUAAUUAUUAUUAAAUGUUAGAGAAGCCGAUUUCAAUUGGACUUCAAAUAAUUGCUGGAUUAAAAAGCCAAACCUGAGCUUCAAUUGUGCUAGCUCCGAGAUGCGGUGUAACAGUAACAUUUUCAUGCAGCACCAGCUUGCUAUCCUUUGGCGGGGGUUCUUCAGCGAAUACAUCAAGUGCCGCCUAUCAAGAUAUUAAAAAAGUCAGUAACAUAAAGAAUUUAUCUCAAGGAAAUGGAAAUUGUUGUAGUGGUUCAGAUCCUGUAAUUUUAUUAAUGUAAUGAAAUAAGAAAAGGUCCUAAAAUAGAGCAUGCCCACAAUGAAUGAUGUAAUUGCAACAUGUAAGAUAAGUAAAUUCAUCAAAUCUCUGUUUAAGGAAUGAAAUCAAAGGUUGUAAAGUCAAUGACUGAUACCACCCUAAGAAUGGUAACUAUGACCAAUAGCAUCUUGUGGAUUAAGGGCCUGUUUGCCUUGGCUGGAUGGAGCUUCUGUAGAUAUGCUUUUAAAUUAAGCUAGCUUUUUAAAGAACUAUAUUAUCAGCCUUCAAUUCUUUUCUUUUCUUUUCUUUUCUUUUCUUUUCUUUUUUUUUUUUUUUGAGGUAACACUACCAGCCCUUUUGUCAUAAUUCCUUCAUCAGCUUCACACUGAGCAAAAGCAGACAGCACUGCUACAGAGAUGCAAAAGAUCAUUCCAGCUUUUCACUAGAGGAAAAGCUCUAGCCGUUUUGCUUGCCAAUCUCCUGCCUACUGCUACUCAGACUAUAGUUACUAAGUUUGAAAAAAAUCAGAAGCAAAAUUUGCCACAACAGUUUACCUGUGCAACUGUUCCACUAUCAAGUGCUCUCACUAAGGCAUCUUCAUCAAUUACUCCACCCCUUGCGACAUUUAUAAUCCUCACUCCUUUUUUCACCUUUGAAAAGGUCUCAUCGUUGAACAGCUUUGAGGUAUUAGCAGUCAGCGGCAUGUGGAGUGAUAUAAAGUCUGCAGUGGAUAUAGCUUCAUCAAAUGAUACAAGUUCUACCCCAAUUGCUCGGGCCCUGUCCGCAGGGGCAUAAGGGUCAUGAGCAAUAACAUGCAUGCCAAGCCCUUUUGCACGCCUAGCAACUUCUGAACCAACUUUCCCGAAUCCCAUCACGGCCAGCGUUUUUCCCACCAGAGAGACGCCAACAUAUUUAUUUCGUUGCCAUUUUCCUGAGUAAUGCACAGUAACAUGCUAUUAACUUAAUCACGCAGACUAUAAUUUACUUCAAGUAGAAACUAGUGCUCUUAACCCCAACUCAAGAAGAAAACCAACUUAAUAGAAAAAUAUGGUGGGAGAGAAUUUACCACUUCAUCUGAGGACAGAAUGACGCACAGGUAUGAGAAUGUCUAUCCAAAUAUGGUACAGGAACAAAAAUAAAAGAACUGGAAUAAAAAUGUUGAAGUGUUUAAUAAUUUUGAACAAAGUGAAAGAAAAUUUGAUUCAACAGAAUCUAUGUGCUGCAAUAGUAUAAGGCUCAUGAAGCAGACAAGGAUAGGGAAAUUUGUGAACAGCAAAGGGAGAUCUUUUAGCAGAAUUGAACCCAAGUGCAUGCAAGUUUCCAAACUCUUUAAAUUGCUUUGGCUAGAAUAAGAAUAAUAAAAUGCAGGUCACUAUGCCUGAAUAUUUUUGCCCAAAGAAGUCAUUUAGAAGAAAUGCAACUACUACGCUAUGAACUUUGAUGAUUCCUUAAGAGUCGUACUGUACACUCACAAUGUUAAACUUUGCCAACUUGUCGAAGCUGACUUAACACAACACUACAAGCAGACACAGAAAGAAACAGUUUCUGCAUAUGAUAAAUGAGAACUACUGAAACCUGAGAACGGUAAAAAAAAAAUACUUUACAAUGAAAGGGCCUUACAACACUAUGGUUGUUGUCCCUAGCAGUUCAAUAGUAGGUGCCUAUGUAAUGUCAAAAGCAGACGCAAGGCAACUAAGUUGGUUUAAAGCACAUACCUACCACCCAAGCAAUAUACAUUGAUAAAGAAAUCUGUGGACAAUAGUGUAUCUACAAGGACCAAAUGAAAGAACAAAGAAAGCACUUCUUCAACAACAAGCGUAGCACAAAUAAUUGGUUUGACGUAACCACCAAAACGACAGUUAUACAGCUACCAUCACUCAGCAAACACUGACAACUAGCACGCAAUCAAGUAAAAAGAGAGAACUACAAUUCUUUCGACAGUGCUAUUUACAGAGCAUGCCAUCCACCGACUGAAAAACAUUGAACUCGAUCGGUACUCAGCACGGCAGGCCUAAAUUUGAUUUAUGCAUAUCAGUGCAUAUUUGCCUCUCUUGACAUAUUUGAUCCAUGAAUACCUGCUAUUUAUUUAUGCAUAUCAGUGCCUAAAUUUGAUUUAUAUAGGCAGAUUGGAUUCAUUGAAUUUGGUCAAACCAGGUAAGUGGUUUAGUGAACAUACCACCCAAUCAUUGCCCUUUUCCUUGAGCAAAAGGAGCUAUAAUAUGUAGUACAUUAAUAAAAAGCUGGUCCCUAUGACAGCCACCCACUCAAAAACCUAAAUUAAUGCGAGGCUCAAUAAUUUCCAAUCACACCACAUAAUAAUUCCACAUAAUUCCAAACCUAAGUUAAUGCGAGGCUCAAUAAUUUCCAAAACAUCACAUUCCACCGCAAACUCUGAACAGGGACAUUUUAAUUACUUAUCUAUUCGCCAAAAAAUUGGAAAAGCAGUACUGUAUAUUCCACAAUUGUGGAGGAAAUUUUCUAACUACAUUCUCCAUCAAAUUCCCACUACACUCGCGUCGACAAACACAACGCAAGCAUUUCAGAUGCACCGAUCCAAAAAUAUAGGUAGAUCUAAAGAGAUCCAAAACGACAAAAACUUUCGAUCCCAGUCGAAGAUCGGAUCCAAUUAAGGAGGAAGGAGACGAAGGGAAUGAGAUAUCGAGAUGGGGACGGGGAGCGAUUGCUUACCGGCCUUCAUGGAGGCGUCGGCCUGGGCGACGUUGCGGGCCAUGGCGGCGAGGAGCGCGAUCCCGUGCUCGGCGGCGGCGACGGUGUUGGCGGUUGGGGCGUUGACGACGAGGCACCCGUGCUCGGUGGCGGCUUGGAGGUCGACGUUGUCGAUCCCGACCCCGGCCCUCCCCACCACCUUGAGCCGCCCCGCCGCGGCCUCGAACACCUCGCGCGUCACCUUCGUCCCGCUCCGCACGAUCAGCGCGUCGCACCGCGCGAUCCUCGCGCGGAGGUCCUCGGGGGGCAGGUUGUAGCCGCAGUCCACCUCGGCGAAGCCGCGGAGGAGCUCGAGCCCCGCCUCGCCGAGCUUCUCCGCGACGAGCACCCUCGGGCGCGGCGAUCCGGCGUCCUCCGCCUCCGCCGCCACCGCCGCCGCGUCGGCGACGGCGCAGAGAGGCCGCCGGUAGCGCAGUGGUAGGAGGAGGAGCGAGGUACUCGGGUCAUGGGCGAGGCGGAGGCCGAGGAAUGGGGAUCGGGAGCGGCAGAGGAGGGAGGAGAGGGAGGAGGGGAGGGGGGAGAGCUCCGCCACAGCCACGGCGGAGGAGGAAGGAGAGGGGAAGAGGGGCUUCGGCGGCGCCAACGCCAUGUUUGAGAGAGAGAGAGAGAGAGAGAGAGAGAGUGCGCACGGGGAGACAAGGGGAACGGGGCGGGGCCUUUCCAAAUGCGUUGAUAUUUGCGCUAAAAAAAAAUAUUAAAAAAAGGGGGGGCACGAGGAAUAUGAUUAUGAUAUAUUUUAUUUUUGCUAAAACUGUAGUGGGACCCGCGCAAAUACGAGAAAACGCAGUGGGACCCACGCAACUACGAUAAAUCGUUCUCUAGACACGGUUCACCACGUCAUCAUGAACCAGAGUGCGUUUUCUCAUGCCCCUUCAAAAGACUAUAACUUGGACACAUUAAAAUCACCAAUUCAUUCUCUUAAAUUUAUCAUUUUUAAUAAUAAAUAAGAAUUUACUAAUACCGUACGGUAAAGAUGUUGAUAGUAUUUUUAUUUUCUCCAAUACCAUUAUAAAACUAAAUAUUAUAUACAUAAGGGAAUUCACUAAUAUUAAUAAGGCUAAAUUACAGAAAACCCUCCUGUAAUAACCCGCUUUUUUACUUUCUUCCCUGACAUUUAAAAACCUACACUUUGCCCCCCUGUAAAAUAAAAAAUGUUCACAGAGGGGUUACGGUGUGUAAAAUGACCAUUUUGCCCCUCGCCAUUGUCGUCUUCUUCCCCAUCUUCCUCAGCUGCCCCUUCGUUCGGCCGCGAUUCCAAUCUCAAUCGGCCGCGAUUUCUCUCCAUUUCCUUUUCCACCUGCUCCCCUUCUCCUCCUGCACCCUCGCCGCCCUUGAUUUCGGCGACAGUAGGAGAAAACCGAGGUGGGCGACAGUAGGAGAAGGGCAAAGAAUGCGAAAGCGAGGCGGCGGAGGACGGCGAAGGGGAUGUGGGUGAGGGCGCGGCAGUGGAGGACGGCGAGGUGGCUAGGCGGCGAGGCGGCAGCGAGGUGGCGAGCUGGAGGGUGGCGAAGCAACAGGGAGAUGGCGGAGGGGUAUUUUCGGCAUAAAAAUAUAUUUUUUAACGGAACCCUAACGGUAGGGGGUGAAGUGCAUAUUUUUUAUUUUACAUGGGGGCAAAGUAUAGGUUUUUAAAUAUCAGGGAGGGAAAGUGAAAAAGCGGGUUAUUACAAGGGGGUUUUCUGUAAUUUAGCCUAUUAAUAAUUUAUUGCGCUAAAACUACCUAUCUAAUUAGCUUUUUAACCCCGAGCUAUUAUACUAAAUAUUUAAUUCUUACAUAUCUAAAUGUAAGUUAUUUUUAUUUAAUACAAUAUAUAAGACUAAACUAAUCAUAUGAAAAUUAAUUAAAUUAAUUAUUAACAAUACAAUAAAUUAAGCAGAUCUAUUUCCACAGCGACUAUGCCCUUGUAAAUUUCCUGAUUUGGUGAAUACAGCUCCUUCGGGAUGUACAUAAUACAACUUUUAUGAGCUGGUUGUCCAGCGAUGAAACCGUAACAGUAUAUCGCAACCGAUUCAUUACAACAUACAUGAUAUUAGUAUACAGAAAUAAUAUCUUCGGCAUUACUUUAGACUCAUUAAGACAAAUGCGUCAAACGAGAAUUCGUGGUGCGUGGUGACCACGGAACGCUCAAUAGGUAGAGUUUGAUAUUGCAAUUGGUAUAUGCGUUCACAAAGUUAGUCUUUAAAGUUGGACCUAGAAUAUUGACGGCCGAGUGUGGUCGUGCAAUGGAGAUGCCGGUUGGCUGGCGAAACGGAAUCCUACAAAUUUUUAAUAUAUGCGGUGAAAAAAUACAAUAAAAAAUAUAUUAUUUGCACAUCAUAAUGAGUCAGUUAUAAUAUAUUUUUUAUAAUUCUAUCGAAAGAUAAAAAAUAUAUUUUUAUAUAUUAAUCAAUUAUGUUUUGUCUACUGGUGUUAGAGGAACCAUCAUAACAAACGAGCUCUAAGCCCCUUAUAAGAAUUUAGACCUAAGUUACAUAUCUAUAAAAAAAAAAAAAAGCAUUUAAUAUUCUAAGAAAAGAAAUACAGUUUUAUAAUUCAUUAUUGUUAAAUUCUCGCAAAAAUCAACACCAUAAAAAGAAAAAAAAAAUCAUUAUUUAAUUUAUAAAAACAAAAUUACGUUUUGUUUUUCUUAAAUUCUAAACGCCUUUGACAAGCUAAAUUUUAUGUUUUGAAGCUUAUAACGUAGAGUUUUAAAAAUACGACAUAUAAAAUAUAUUUACAUAACAAAUAUAAAAAAUUUAAAAUAUGAAGUAGUUUUUAGACGGUCAGCUUAACAUUUAAACUUUUAACCUUUAUUUGAAAUUGCCGAGACAGGAGCGCAUCAUGUUCAUAAGUUAUACGAACUCGACUUCAGAUUCCAUUCGACUAAAUUUUGAGAGUAUGAAUCUUAUAUGUUUUUUAGUGCAAAUUCAAUAAUUAAUUUACUGGUUUUGUGAGUUCAGCGAUAUAAUAAAUAUAUGUUGUGAUAAUUUUGUUUGAUUCGUCACUUAAAUUGCGCACUAUAUUGCAUACCAAGAGGCCUAGACAAUAAAUAGAGAGGCGACAACCUUAGAAUAAAAAAAAUUUCUAAAACAAAUAAAUAAAAAAAAACAAAACUACACCCAAAGGACAAAAAUUUUGUGGGCGUCAUCCCUAAACAAUUUGUUUGGGACCGAUACUGACGGGCACCGCGUGGUAUGCGGCACCCAUCGCGACCCUCGGAAAUGAAAAAAAAAAAAAAUUAUGGGCUCCAAUUUUUCAGAAAGAGAAAGAAAGAAAUCGGUGGUGGAAAGGAGCGUACACUACACGGAGCCAUCGGCUUCGUCUCCAAACAAGUUGUUUGGACCAAUGUCCACAAAAUUUUUGUGGACUACCAACCCCCUGGGUCCCAAGAGUAGAAAUUAUUUAAAUUAUUGUAUGUGGACCGAGUCCACCACGUCGGCUUGGACUCAAAGGGGGAACAGUGACCGAGGGGCGGACUAUGCCGCUGAUGACGUGGUGAACCGGGUUCAGCAAGAGCCGAGAUGUUCCGACAAAAGCGAACGCACGUGGCCUCCGAUCUUGCGGUGGAUGAUCCGAGAGUGGAUCGUCCGAGACAGAGGAACAUGUGCAUCUCCACGUGGCGGAUUUUCAUUCGUCGCAUCCACUUCGCUAGAGAUGCAAACGGGUACGGAUCGGAGAUUUUAUUCGAACUCGGAACCCAAAUAGCGCAUUUAUCUAAUAUUAACCGAAUAUGAUUUUAAAUAUGAAUAUAGAAACAAAAAUCUAAUAUAUUCGAAUCAGAUCUAAAUCUAAAUAUAUUUUAGAUUAUAUAAUAUAUAUAUAUAUAUAAAUGUCAAAUAUUAUACUUAAAUUUAUAAAUUUUAAAUUUUAAUAUAAUAUAUUUUAAAAUAUAGUAAACAGAAAUAAUUGUUUCAGAUUUGUUCGGAUUUCAGGUUUAUAAUCUGAUUCGAUUUCGGAUAUGAAUUUUUAAAAUCUAUUGGGUUUAGAUUCGGAUUCGGUUUUGAUUUUCGAAUUUAGUUGUCGGAUUCGAGUUCAUAUUUCUAAAAAGUCAUACCAAAUCCGACCUAUUGACAGCCCUAUCAUUGGUCCCCAUAAUGUCCAGUUCCAUAGAGUCUGGCUACUAUGCUAUCAACAGCGCGAAGCACUCAGUGCUACCAAGUUUUCCGCCGUUAGAUCCACCCCUUUGAUCAUUUUCAGCCGUUAGAUCAUACUAUUCAACCAACCAUCUAAUCAAUCCUAGGAGACCCACAUCAUCCUAACCGCACAUCUCUCAAUCGAAUGGCCGAAAAUUUGGUAGCACCAAUGAUUUGGUGCUAUUAAUAGCAUAGUAGCCUAGUUCAGUUCCAUAUUACAAUUACCUAUAUUUUUGGGAUGCAAUUUGUACCGUAAUUCACCACUAAUUUUGUAACAUUAUUUUCACGAAUGCUGCAAUCCUGUUGUAUAAAUAAAUCUUAUAGAAGGCAUGAUUGAGAUUUUUAAAAUUAGAAGUAUGCUAUGAUAUUUAAAAUAUUUAUAUAUAUAUAUAUAUAAAUACAAAUAGUAAGUUUUAAAGAUAUUUUUCAUACAAAUUAAAUAUAAAUAACCUUUUACCAAUCAUUAAUUCCGUGUUUUGGUACCCUAUGUAGGUACUUGUGAUCAAUUUUAGGCCUCUAAUAGAUAUCAUUUUUUUUAUUCUUUUAUUAAUUAACCAAUGUGAAGCAAUUCAUAUGUAAAUUUGGAAUCCAGCUACAAUCCUUUUAUGAGGACGGAGGCCUUCGUCCCUGUCGUUUUAGAUUAUAAGAAUUUCGAAUCGAUGAUCGAAACUAUUAAAGUUAAUAUAUAGUAUUUAUAGUGUCUAAAAACUAAAUUUUAUUUAAAUUUUAAAAAAUUAUUUAUGUAGUGAUUAAUGGAUCACAAAAUCGACAUUUUUUACAACCUAUAUGAGCCAUUUGCUUGUUUAAGGGUGUAGAACAAUCUAAACAGUUUAAAUUUGUGAUAAUUUUUUUUUUUACUAUUUAGAUGACAUUAGCCGUUUAAAGGUGUAGGACAAUCUAAAUAGCUUGAAUUUUUGAUAAUUUUUUUUUUUACUAUUUAGAUAACGUUUGAUUACUCCGAUCAUGAAUUGAAAAAUUCUAACAUCUAUUUUCACAAGAUUAUUCUUUUUUCACUGUUUAUUUUUUGAUUCUUCAAUAAACUUGAUAACGAAUUUUAAAAUUUAUGAAAUUUAGUUUCUGAACGUCAUAAAUACUCUAAAUAAAAUUUAAUAGUUCCGAUUAGCGAUUCGGGAUCCCUAUCAUCUAAAACGACUUAGAAGGACGAAGACCUCCGCCAUCUUAAAAGGAUAGUAACCGGACUCACACUUUACGGGCCAAAUUAGGCCACAACAUGAUCCGAAUCCACGCCAUGCUGGGUCACUUAUAUCCGAACCAUAGCCCGGUAUCGGUCCAGGCCCAAACAAGUAACCGCCUGAAUUAUUUUUAUUUGUGUUUAAUUUUUAUAAUAAAAUUCUUUUUAACUUUUUUAACAUUAAUUUUACAAGAUAAAGGAAAAACCAUGUUACUCGAUAGAUAGUUUUAAUUAUAUUUGAAAGAAUAUUUUUUAAUAUUAGCCCACUUAUGUCCUAGCAUUUCGGCCCAUUUGUAACAGCCCAGUAGACCCGAGUCCAGCACGGCCCGUAGCCGUGUCCGAUUAGGUCUGAUGACAGGCCUACCCGCAUGCCGCCCGACCCGUUUUACACCCUUAGUCAUAUUCCUGUAUUUCAUAUAGAAAAAAUAAUUGAAAGCUACGGGAAUAAAUUAAAUUUAAGCAUUUCUUUAGUCAAAUUUUGAUGUAGGUCGCGUUAAUGGACUAGCUCAUGUUACGCUCGAAAAUAAGAUAAAUUAUCUAUUUAAGUGCUAUGCUGAACAAAAUGUUAACUAAAAAAACCUUUUAAACCUCACACUUUUUUUUUUUUUUGGAUUUCUUUUUCUUUCUAUUGUUUUCUUAUUUAUUAUCUAUUACGUUCUUUUCUAAAAUCUACAUCAUAAUCAUUUAGUUUUUCUCCACUCUUUUGCUUCGUUCUUUCGCUACAUCAUAAUCAGUGGCGUAUCUUUUCUUUUUAUUCUUUUAGAUAUGACUUUUACUUUCUCUUUUUAUCUAAUUUUGACAUACUUACAUGUUUUUUCUUUUUUUUUAGAUAAAAAUAUACUUAUUUUAUUCUCCAAAAAGCGCUAAAUUAAUGUAAUCAAAUUCUACGAUCUAUUACAAUCGAAGUCGCUUUCACUAGAGCCAUUUUUUAACUUUCCUUGAACAGUAGCUUAGUUGGCAGUAUUAGCAAUAGAUAAGCCUCUACCCUCUGGGCCCGAGGAAGUCGACUGUGUCAUAUUUGCACCACACCAGUAAUAACUAAAUUAAUCGUAUCUAUCUUUUUAAAAAUAUAUAUAUAUAAAAUAUUUUUUAUAUAAUUAUGAUGUGACAGUAUGACAGAUUAACCUAAAAAGAUCUAUUUAAUUAGUUGAAAACGCCAUGUCACCGAUAUAACUAGUACAUUCUACAAUAUUUUUGUACAUUUAUUUAUUCAUUUAUUCAUUCAUUAGUCGGCUGUUUUGUCCUAUGCGUAGCGAAAUCAUCAUUAUU